rnacentral:rRNA from 1 species
UAGGGAAUCUUCCACAAUGAGCGAAAGCCUGAUGGAGCAACGCCGCGUGUGUGAUGAAGGGUUUCGGCUCGUAAAACACUGUUGUAAGAGAAGAAUGACAUUGAGAGUAACUGUUCAAUGUGUGACGGUAUCUUACCAGAAAGGAACGGCUAAAUACGUGCCAC